GCAUCAGCCUUUUCCAUGACCUUAGCCAUAAGUGAUGACGAGGCAGGGUCACAUCCCAUUGCCCUCGCAGUGAAUCUGAGGCUGUCACAGAAGGUGCCUGCUACAGAGGCUGCUGCUACGCAAGCUCUCUCAGAAUGGCUCCCACACAGAAAUAUUUUCUGAUUUUUGAAAGGGAAUCAGUCCAUGCCAAGAUGGCUCAAGUAGAAGAGGCGGAGGCUGUGGAUACUCAGAGGGUGGCAGAGGAAGCUUCAGAAUUCCUCCUUAAGCAAUCUGUCUUCCUCUCUCUCUGGUCCUUGGGGAAGAAAUCACCCUUAACUGGGAUUAUCCUGUCUUUACAAGGGAUGAAAGGGCUGCAUCCACAUUUGGUAGAGUAACUAGGUCUGGAUUGGAUCUAUGAACGGGAUACUGCAUCUUGGCCAGCCUCUGAGCUCUUGCUGGGUUUUGCAUUCAGCCCUAAUUACAUCUACCAGUGUUGCAUGGAGAGGAGAUAGGUUUGAGAUGUUGAACUGAGAGGAAGUAUUUGAGAGGUUUCACUCCCUUUCUGUCUAGAUCUAUUCUGUGUAAGUUCUUAUCUUUUGAUGCCUCCUCCUUUUGAGGUUCUUCCAGUGGGGGUUCAGUGCCUGACACUACUUGCCAGGAUAGAAACAAAACUCCUCUUGAAACAACUUGCUUUGAGGUUCCUCCUCUGGGGGCUUUAGCUCAGAUUCAGAAAAUUGUCCUUCCCAGGAAUGAGAAGCUACACGGUCCUGUCUUGAGCUCUUUGUCUUCCUGCUCUUUUUGCAGCCUUUUGUGGCAGGGGCUUUCUCUCCCCCUGAAAAUGGAAGAGGACAUGAGAUAGUCCCUCCAUCUCUUGCUCCUGUUUGCUAGGCAACAAAGUCUUAGAAAUUGAGUCCAUCGGAAAGGGUUUGGAACCUCAAACAGUAAGCUAUAAGCACACUUAAAAUUGCCACGUAGCAAGGAACCAGUGGUGUGGGAUAAGUAGAGCCAUGGAGUAGAGUAUUAACUCUAAGUGAAUCUGAUAUUUUUAUGCUCUGCUAGCCUCAGCUCCUGGUUGAAACAUACUCAGCAGUUGGCAAAUCUCACUGGCUUAAUUAGAUCAUAGGUAUCUGGUCACCCCAGGGGCAGCUGAUCAAAUAAGAAGUGGGAGUUAAACUACCAUUGCCAUUAAAUGUCCAAGGAUUUCAUGAUGUUUAAACCCCCAUCACCUGCACCAGAACGCUGGUGCGGAGUGCACAGAGGCACCAAUGGCUUGUUUUUGUUGCCCUUAAGCCAAGUUUGCAUUAUAAGCAAUUGACACUGGCAGCUAGAUCUAAAUGUAAGACUUUCUCUUAGUAUCACUGUAGAGAAGCUACAGGCAGAUAAACCAAGGGACGAACAGUGGUGUUAUGUAUGUUUAAUCCUGUUUGACAGAGAACUCAACCAAUGUGUUCUAACUUGUCAAACUUUUCCAGUAACCAACCUAGCAUCAAUAUUUCCAAGACCUUUUUCCAUGACAGAGGAGAGCAAGUUUAAAAAACUAUUUAAGUAACAUCAGAUCCUUAAGAAAGCAAAUUUGUUUUACAUAGGUGUAAAACUCACAUACAGCUUUCACUAAGGGACUUUUUAAAUUGGUGGGAUAUACUAUAUCCCAUGUGACACCCUGCAGCCCAUGUUCACCACUUUUGUAUGGGCAUAUUUUGUUUGAAGUAUCAUUUGAAAACUCAAUCUACAGCCCAACAUUGUCUUGGUAAUCUAUCAACAUUGUACAUGGAGCUGAGAUUUUACUAGGUGCUUGUUACUGAAAUAUGCUGUCAUUCUGGUAAUGCCCUCAGACCAUUUUUUCAAAGACAAAAAGGCACACUAGCUAGGUGCUAAAAGCCCAUUACCUGCUUAAUCGGAGAUUCACCAGCAGGGGAGUUAUAAACAAAUGAUUUACAAUUCUCCAGAACAGCUGACCCCAUGACCCAGCAAAGACUUUUCCAGUACAGAGGGUUAGAGUAUAAGAAAGGUGAGGUGGCCAGAGGCUAUGACAUCACUAAAUAUCUGAAGAACACUGAACUAAGGGGAGUGGUUCCAGGCUGGAAAAAGCAACAGCUUGUGACAUAUAUUGCAUCUAAUGGUGAGACAACUGAUGUUUUUAGAGUUAGCCUAGGUAAAAUCUAGAAAUUAGAGUGUGGUUUUCUCUCUCUCUUUUGUAAUUAAAUCUGACUUUUGCCUUAGCACCUGUAAAUCACUUAAAAUCUAUCUUUCUCUAGUUAAAUGGGGUUUACUGUUUUAUCUAAACCAGUGUGUUUGGGAAACCCGCCCUUGAGACAAGGGUGGUGUAUAUUCAUUAUCCACUGUUGGAAUGACAAACUAAUUAUGAGUCAGUACAUUCCAGUGGGCCACUGAACAGGGCACUUUUUUUGAGGGGAGGGUGGGAAGAGAGACAAGGCUGGGAUUGCAGGAUAUGCUGGGGUCACCUUCUAUCUGUUCAUCCAUGGCUGGGUAUAGCACUUGUGUUCAACUAGGAAUGACUUUACAUGCUGGGGGUAAACAGAGCCUGGAAAGGUUGUGAUGCUGACAGUAAGGCAGUGUAAAAGACGAUCCAGGCUGGAGAGCUAAGGGGACAUAACAGACCAGUAAUUCAGGUUGCAGCCUGAGGAAUGUCACAACUGAUUCAGAAUCUUUUUCUUUCCCCUAUAGGCUCCUCACCAGAUCCUUCCAGCUCUUUACUUCCAUAUAGCAUUCUGCCUAAGAGAGGGAGUUGGCCACAAGGGGUAUUGUUUUUCAAGACAAAUAAGGUCUUGUUCGUAAUGUUACAGGAUUGUAUUUGUUGAUUAUUUAAAUCAAAAUAAUCAAGAGACACCUAUGCAAGGAGCUCAGUACCCUAGCAUAGCAUUAGCAAUACAAUCAAAAUAAUUCAAUAGGAACUCAGGCAGCCUCCUUUGACACUUCAUUUUCUAGGAAUCAUACCUUCACCCUUCUCCAAAAAUACCCAAAUAGAUAUGUUUUGCAGCAUACCUGGAUGGUCACCAAAUCUGGACAGUUCAGAGCCCUCAAGCCCACACACCGAAUGCCCUGCCAGCCACUCUCUCUGCUUUAUUACAAGAGCAUUCAAGGUCAGGCAUUCCUGGAAACGGCAGCUGUGGCAGUAUGGUACAGGGAGAGAGGAGCCCUCAGGUAAGCCAGUCCCAGGUUAUUUAGGGCUUUGUAGGUCAUAACCAACUCCUUCAACUCCACCAAGACCAACACACGCACCUGUAGACCCACUGCAACCUAUCAGUGUUCCAGUCAGGAUUAAGGAAAUAAGGAAAUCAAAAUCAGACACAUCAGCACAAAAAUGUAGUGUUUAUUUUCAGAUGUAUCUCAUAACACUCUAAACAUACUGAUAGCUUCACGUGAAAUCGCACUAUAGUGCUCGGCUAUUAAGUCUGAACAGAAGUGGGGUGAGGCUAGUUUUGUAAUUAUAGUCAGGUUUAGAGAUUAGAUAUUGCUCAUUGUACAAGAUGGGUCAGUUGAGUACUGAGUGUUUAUUCUGAGAUAUUGCUUCACAUAGGAAGACCAAGAAAGCAACAGCAGUCAGACAGGGGUUACUGAAGCUGUAAUAUGUCCUUCUAGAAACACUGUAAUUUGAUAUACUGAAAAUUAAGUGUGUUACAUCUAAAAGAUUCCCAAUGUUUAUUAUAUUUAUUUUCUUUGUUGUUUCUGAAGAGAGCAGCCCUCCCUUGCCACCUCUGGCCUUGCACAUAACCACAAACAUUUUAUUAUAAAAACUGAUCCAGAAGUACAGUUAAAUAUAGGUUUCAUUUACAUGUUCAUAUUCAUUCUUAAAAUUAAGUGCAUUGAUUGCCCCACCCCCAUCUCUGCUUUCUUCCUGUGAGUGGGAGGGUUUUAAACACAGAUGCUAGAUAAAGAAAACAGCUGGAAAAUAGAAAAAAAUAGUUUUUGGAACAAAACUGGAAAAAGGCAAGAUAUUAAAAAGUUAGGCAAGAUAUUAGCAAUAAGGCAACACAACAUAAAAUUAAAUUAGAAAACACUGCACUGUAGUGAUGAUCUAGUUUUAAUGGAGAUGCAGUGAGACUGACGUAGGUCAAUGCUGUUAGUCCCUUGACAUCAACAUGAUUACCACAUAAAAUGCCGCAUUUUCUAAUGCUAUUCAUGAACUUGGCACAUAUCCUUGGUGCCUUAAAAAAACAAAAGCCAGAAGUGUAACCAUUAAAAACCAGUCAUGGGACUGUGAGGUUUUAAAAAAAUUGAAUCAUGUCAUAACAGUUCCAAGUGCCUGCUUACCCUAGAAGCUUAAAUUGCAAAUCAAAUAUUAACAGCCCUAAGGCAGUUUUCUCACCACAAAGCGGGAGAGAAGAGUACAUUUUAUUUCUCUCUCAGCCAGAUAUAGUUUCAUACAUAGCCCCGUGUUUCUGUGGUACUGACCAUGAUUGUUUAGUUCCAAUGUUUCAACUGUCUCAGUCACUCAAGACUGAACUAGCUACAGAACUGAGGAAUAAGGAUUUAAUUUUCAGCUUCCAUUCAAAUAAAUCCAAGCUUUUUCAGGAGGCCAACAGCCCUAUUAAAAAAUAGCAAAGGUUUAAUCAAAGUCAGACAGUAACACCCCACAGAAUGAGUUUGCUACAUAACAGAUUAAAAAUGAGGAAGUUUGCAAAUGCUUUUUUUAAUAUUAAAAAUAGCCCCCACUGCUGCUGCUGCAGAUUAGCUAUGUUAGAUGCUCAUGAUCUGUUUCCUUUGGAGACGACAGAUGUGCCGAAGCACUAACCGAGAUUCUGCAUAAACAGAGUAACACUGGUCAGUAGAAGUGCUCCAAAAUGUUAAUAGAAACCCAGUUUGUUGAACUCCAGGAGUUAGUUCAUGUGCAUCUUAAAAAAAAAACCCCCACAACUGCAAAGAGUAUUAGUUACAAUGGUAUCAAAGAAGAGGAAAUUAAAAUAAGAUCUGUGAGAUUCACGGGAAACAGAGAUUACUGAACUUGUUUUACAAGGUGUACAGUGCUAUUUUUUAAAUUAAAUUUGUGUUGGAUUUUUACUUGUGGGAAAGUACAUUUAUGAUACUUCUCUAAAUUGAAGAAUUAGAGUCAACCGGUACAUUUAUACAGAGAGGCAUAUGAAUAUGGCAAGACAGGCUCUCAUUCCUGACUGUUCCUCAGAUCAAAGUAAUCCAGGGUUGGGAGGACAAUAAGUAUAUGGAGAAGGAAAUUAAAAAGCCUGAAGAUAAGAGCAUCAGAAAAGGAUAGUCUGCUUAUACAAUAACUUGGAUCAGAUUGACGGUCAGCAUCUGGAAAGGGUAAGAGACUCUCUUACACAAUAAAAGAAGCCACCACAAAUCAUAUCUCCCAUUUAAAAUAAAGUAGACAAUAACGAGCUCUUUUCAGACAUCUAUGUAUAUGGAAUUUUAACAUAUGAAAUACAAGUUGGUUAAAAUACUGCUAAGAAUAGCACAUACAGAAACAGUACGUCACUUAUCACUCAUUACAAGUUUUUACAGGAAAAAAAAUGGUGAAACACCUAGGAGAUCUUGCUGUAUUCAAACUAUAUAUACACAUCUAACAGUCCAAACGCUACUUGUCUUGGACUCAAGGUAAGCACCUUCAUAACAGUGUCCAUUACAGGAAAACAGCCAAAAAUACAUUCAGAACCCCUACAACUAUUUUCAUAAUUAACAUUUUAAAGCAUUUUGUGGUAGACGGGUGUAUCUAAGAUUGGUUUUCUUUAAGGAUAUGCAAUCUGCAUUAGUAACAGUAAAGAGCUCUUUGCAUUUUUGUUCAUACACAUAAUGUAUCAACUUAUUUUACAAGUUAUUUAUUUAAACACUUUCACAAUUUUACAAAA